AGAGUUUGAUCCUGGCUCAGGACGAACGCUGGCGGCGUGCCUAAUACAUGCAAGUCGAGCGGACCCUUCGGGGUUAGCGGCGGACGGGUGAGUAACACGUAGGCAACCUGCCUGUAAGACUGGGAUAACCUUCGGAAACGGAUGCUAAUACCAGAUACACGGUUUCUCCGCAUGGAGAGAUCGGGAAAGACGGAGCAAUC
rnacentral:rRNA from 1 species